UGGAGCCUGCGGUUAAUCGGACUCAACGCCGGGAAGCUCACCGGAUAAGACAGCGGAAUGAUAGCCGGGCUGAAGACUCUGCUUGACUAGCUGAGAGGAGGUGCAUGGCCGUCGUCAGUUCGUACUGUGAAGCAUCCUGUUAAGUCAGGCAACGAGCGAGACCCACGCCAACAGUUGCCAGCAUGUCCUCCGGGAUGGUGGGGACACUGUUGGGACCGCCUCUGCUAAAGAGGAGGAAGGAAUGGGCAACGGUAGGUCAGCAUGCCCCGAAUUAUCCGGGCUACACGCGGGCUACAAUGGUCAGGACAAUGGGCAUCAACACCGAAAGGUGAAGGCAAUCUCUUAAACCUGUCCUUAGUUCGGAUUGUGGGCUGCAACUCGCCCACAUGAAGCUGGAAUCUGUAGUAAUCGCGUCUCAAAAUGGCGCGGUGAAUAUGUCCCUGCUCCUU
rnacentral:rRNA from 1 species